rnacentral:rRNA from 1 species
AUUGAACGCUGGCGGCAUGCCUUACACAUGCAAGUCGAACGGCAGCACGGGUGCUUGCACCUGUGGCGAGUGGCGAACGGGUGAGUAAUACAUCGGAACAUGUCCUGUAGUGGGGGAUAGCCCGGCGAAAGCCGGAUUAAUACCGCAUACGAUCCACGGAUGAAAGCGGGGGACCUUCGGGCCUCGCGCUAUAGGGUUGGCCGAUGGCUGAUUAGCUAGUUGGUGGGGUAAAGGCCUACCAAGGCGACGAUCAGUAGCUGGUCUGAGAGGACGACCAGCCACACUGGGACUGAGACACGGCCCAGACUCCUACGGGAGGCAGCAGUGGGGAAUUUUGGACAAUGGGCGAAAGCCUGAUCCAGCAAUGCCGCGUGUGUGAAGAAGGCCUUCGGGUUGUAAAGCACUUUUGUCCGGAAAGAAAUCCUUGACUCUAAUACAGUCGGGGGAUGACGGUACCGGAAGAAUAAGCACCGGCUAACUACGUG